AACUUUCAACAACGGAUCUCUUGGUUCGGGCAUCGAUGAAAAACCCACCGAAAUGCGAUAAGUAAUGCGAAUUGCAAAAUUCCAGUGAGUCAUCGAAUCUUUGAACGCACAUUGCGCCCUUUGGUAUUCCGAAGGGCAUGCCUGUUCAAGC
rnacentral:rRNA from 1 species